CUGACAGCAGAGGUGUCUGUCUGAACUGAUAAAUAUCUGUGGGUUAGGGUGGUAGAGGGCUGACAGCAGAGGUGUCUGUCUGAACUGAUAAAUAUCUGUGGGUUAGGGUGGAUAGAGGGCUGACAGCAGAGGUGUCUGUCUGAACUGAUAAAUAUCUCUGGGUUAGGGUGGUAGAGGGCUGACAGCAGAGGUGUCUGUCUGAACUGAUAAAUAUCUCUGGGUUAGGGUGGUAGAGGGCUGACAGCAAAGGUGUCUGUCUGAACUGAUUAAUAUCUGUGGGUUAGGGUGGUAGAGGGCUGACAACAGAGGUGUCUGUCUGGAUUUUUAACAGUCCUUUACCGGCCUGGACUCUUUUAGGCCCGAGGUACAGGACAUUUCUGGAGGAACCAGAACUCAUUGUGUUAUAUUGUUAUGUGUGUGUGAUCAUUUGUUGGUAAUACAACCCACGCAAAAUAAUAUCG
ensembl:lncRNA